GACGAGCGCUGGCGGCGUGCUUAACACAUGCAAGUCGAACGGUGAACUCGGAGCUUGCUCCGGGGGAUCAGUGGCGAACGGGUGAGUAACACGUGAGUAACCUGCCCCAGACUCUGGAAUAAGCGCUGGAAACGGCGUCUAAUACCGGAUACGAGACGGAGAGGCAUCUCUACCGUCUGGAAAGUUUUUCGGUCUGGGAUGGACUCGCGGCCUAUCAGCUUGUCGGUGAGGUAACGGCUCACCAAGGCAACGACGGGUAGCCGGCCUGAGAGGGCGACCGGCCACACUGGGACUGAGACACGGCCCAGACUCCUACGGGAGGCAGCAGUGGGGAAUAUUGCACAAUGGGCGAAAGCCUGAUGCAGCGACGCCGCGUGAGGGAUGACGGCCUUCGGGUUGUAAACCUCUUUCAGCAGGGAAGAAGCGAAAGUGACGGUACCUGCAGAAGAAGCACCGGCUAACUACGUGCCAGCAGCCGCCGUAACAC
rnacentral:rRNA from 1 species